ACGAUCGGCGCUGCUUUCGUUGCCAAACCGAUCCAGGUGGGAGAGAAAGUGAUCACUCUGGGAAUAUGGGACACAGCUGGAUCCGAACGCUACGAAGCUAUGAGCAGAAUCUACUACAGAGGAGCGCGGGCCGCCAUCGUCUGCUACGAUCUGACCGACAGCAGCAGCUUCCAGCGAGCUCGGUUCUGGGUGAAGGAGCUGCAGAACUGCGAGGAACACUGUAAGAUCUACCUGUGUGGAACCAAGAACGACCUGGUUGAAGCCGAUCGCAGCAUUCGUCAGAUCGAUUACCACGACGCUCAGGACUUUGCUGAAGAGAUCGGCGCCGCAGCAUUUCGAGACCUCCAGUAAAACAGGAAAUAACGUGGAUGAGUUGUUCCAGAAAGUCGCCGAGGAUUACAACAGCACCGCCUUCCAGUAUAUGAGCGCAGAGGAAACCGGCGUCGACUUGGGCCAGAAGAAAGACUCAUAUUUCUACUCCUGUUGCCAUAACAACUGAUGCUGAGCAACCCGCCGAGGGAAACAGACGUGGUCAACUUCCCUCCGACUGAAAUAAAACCUGGAAAUGCUGGAUGGAUAACUCUGAUCCAAGGAAAAGAAAUGAAGCAGGAAUGUUUAUACUUUGUUAGAUAAGUUUGUUUCUUUUUGUGCCAUAAAGAACUGAAGAGGAUCCACUGCUGUCUCGGGCGGGUUUAAAGCUCCUCGUCCAGCUGUGUGUCGUGUUUUAUCCUCUCAUCAGCUGUUCCUCUGAGCUGGAAGUGAACAUAUCCCCAAAGCUGCAGUGUCAAACAAUCUAAAGCAGGUGACCUCUGCGUUGGCGAAGGAAAGCUGCGACCCGGUGGACUCGAUCGAGGCUGAUUGUUGUUGUAGCGGCUGCAGUGCUUCAGGAGGGUGAAUGGGUUGUUUACAGCGUUUUUGUUUACCUCCAACUUUAUUUAAUCCUUGUUGUGAAAAGUCUACACGAGAGGAGUGAAGUAAAAACACUCCGGUGUCACUGAAACGAAAAAGUCAGGAAUGAAAUGAUACCAAUGAUCUUUAUAAAGGCCUUAAACCCGCAGUACAAAGUGGCUUUAUAGAGCAGUAGUUCUCAACCUCAGAUACCCCCUUAAUGAACCUAAUGCUACUUCUGGUCCGGUGCUGGUUCUGGUUCCGGUUGCUGGUUCUGGUCCGGUGCUUGGUUCUUUCAACGUGAACCCUUCUAAGAACUGAUUUUCCACAGACUAAAGAGCCCACCGUUAGACGUCAACGAUGCUACUUAAUUUAUCGUCAUUGUUUCCUCGAUUGUAACAUUGAUGUGAGAAAUGAGUUGCUCACUAACAGCUAAUAAAUGCACAGCUGGAACCGGUUCUGGCUCCGAACCAGCGGACCCAUGUUUGAUUAGACGUGGUCUCAGGGAACCCGUCUGAUCAGAUUGAGUUAAUCUACAGUACAGAGAGUUAUUAUGGGACAACAGUUGAAACUUAGAAACUUUUAGUCAGUGAAAUAGUUAAAUUAAAACCCCCGGUUGAGAACAACUCUUCUACAGUUUUGGCUCUUCAAUGUUUACCACAACUUUUUGCCAAGUGACAGCCAUGGAUGUAUUAACAGAGCUGGAUGCGGCGCCUCCACUCCGCCCUGCUGCCCCCCCCCCCCACC